GAUGAACGCUAGCUACAGGCUUAACACAUGCAAGUCGUGGGGCAGCAUGAAGGAAGCUUGCUUCCUUUGAUGGCGACCGGCGCACGGGUGAGUAACGCGUAUCCAACCUUCCCCUUACUAGAGGAUAGCCCGGCGAAAGUCGGAUUAAUACUCUAUGUUGUAUUUCGAUGACAUCUGAGGAAUACCAAAGGUUCACCGCUAUGGGAUGGGGAUGCGUCUGAUUAGGUUGCAGGCGGGGUAACGGCCCACCUGGCCGACGAUCAGUAGGGGUUCUGAGAGGAAGGUCCCCCACAUUGGAACUGAGACACGGUCCAAACUCC
rnacentral:rRNA from 1 species